CACUUUGUUAUCAGUGUAUUGGGAGCUUGAUAAAGACCAUUAGGUUGAAACGUUGCUGCACUAGGUGUAAUAAAGAAAUUGAUUGGAUCCCUUUGGAGUGCCGUGGCUUAUUCUACACAUUCUUUGGCUACUACGGGAAUCCUAGGACCAGGAUUCAACGCUACAGGCACCACCACGUAUCAGAUCAGCUAUAAUAA